rnacentral:rRNA from 1 species
ACGGCUCAGUAACACGUGGAUAACCUACCCUUGGGCCGGGUAUAAACCCGGGAAACUGGGUAUAAUUCCCGAUAGAUCUGGAUUGCUGGAAUGCUGCUAGAUUUAAAGCUCCGGCACCCAAGGAUGGGUCUGCGGCCUAUCAGGUCGUAGUGGGUGUAAUGUACCUACUAGCCUAAUACGGGUACGGGUUGUGAGAGCAAGAGCCCGGAGAUGGAUUCUGAGACACGAAUCCAGGCCCUACGGGGUGCAGCAGGCGCGAAACCUUUACAAUGCGGGCAACCGCGAUAAGGGGACCUCGAGUGCCGACAUCUAAUGUCGGCUGUCGUGAUGCCUAAAAAGCAUUAUAUAGCAAGGGCCNNGCNAGACCGGUGCCAGCCGCCGCGGUAACACCGGCGGCUCGAGUGGUGACCGCUAUUAUUGGGUUUAAAGGGUCUGUAGCCGGCCGGAUAAGUCUCUUGGGAAAUCUGGCCGCUUAACGGUCAGGCUUUCAGGUGAUACUGUCUGGCUCGAGGCCGGGAGAGGUGAGAGGUACUUCAGGGGUAGGGGUGAAAUCUUGUAAUCCUUGAAGGACCACCAGUGGCGAAGGCGUCUCACCAAAACGGACCUGACGGCAAGGGACGAAAGCUAGGGGCACGAACCGGAUUAGAUACCCGGGUAGUCCUAGCCGUAAACAAUACUCGCUAGGUGUCGGCCGCGGUGCGACCGUGGUCGGUGCCGUAGGGAAACCGUGAAGCGAGCCACCUGGGAAGUACGGCCGCAAGGCUGAAACUUAAAGGAAUUGGCGGGGGAGCAC